rnacentral:rRNA from 1 species
AUUGAACGCUGGCGGCAUGCCUUACACAUGCAAGUCGAACGGCAGCACGGGAGCAAUCCUGGUGGCGAGCGGCGAACGGGUGAGUAAAGUAUCGGAACGUGCCCAGUCGUGGGGGAUAACGUAGCGAAAGCUACGCUAAUACCGCAUACGAUCUAUGGAUGAACGCGGGGGAUCGCACUACCCAGCGCGAUUGGUGCGGCCGAUAUCCGAUUAGGUAGUUGGUGGGGUAAAGGCUCACCAAGCCGACGAUCUGUAGCUGGUCUGAGAGGACAACCAGCCACACGGGGACUGAGACACGGCCCAGACUCCUACGGGAGGCAGCAGUGGGGAAUUUUGGACAAUGGGCGAAAGCCUGAUCCAGCCAUGCCGCGUGCAGGAUGAAGGCCUUCGGGUUGUAAACUGCUUUUGUACGGAACGAAAAGGUUUGGCCUAAUAAGCUGAGCUCAUGACGGUACCGUAAGAAUAAGCACCGGCUAACUACGUGCCAGCAGCCGCAGUAA